UUUCUCCUUAACAACACAUUCCUUCUGGGACACAGAUAUUCUGGCUUCUCCUUAAUUUUUGGUGCAGCUGCAACUAGCUUUAACUUUGCUGAGGAAAAGGAAAUGGAUUUGAGACGCGUCUGGAUGGAUGCCUUGGCUGUUUGUCUGAUGACAAGCAAGUAGGCUGCAUCCCUCCAGCGCCACUAAAUGCUGCAAUGAGUGUCCUCAUGGGUUUGCUUUCACAGCAGACAUUGAACGUUUCUCUGGGCUAUGGAUGCAUUAGUGGAUUCCCAAGGCAUGGGACAUAUGCGUGCAUAAUUGAUUUGACUGACUUCAGCCAGAUUGUUCUGCAGUGGCUUGCACCAGGCUACACACCCGCCCUCAGUACAUGGGGCUGGAAGAUACUGGGCUAUAAGGACAAUGGACACCUUCCAGCUUCUGUUUACUGCUUGUUUGCUAACUGCAAGGCAU